rnacentral:rRNA from 1 species
UACGCAGGGGGCUAGCGUUGCUCGGAAUCACUGGGCGUAAAGCGCACGUAGGCGGAUUGUUAAGUCAGGGGUGAAAUCCUGGAGCUCAACUCCAGAACUGCCUUUGAUACUGGCGAUCUCGAGUCCGGGAGAGGUGAGUGGAACUGCGAGCGUAGAGGUGAAAUUCGUAGAUAUUCGCAAGAACACCAGUGGCGAAGGCGGCUCACUGGCCCGGUACUGACGCUGAGGUGCGAAAGCGUGGGGAGCAAACAGG